rnacentral:rRNA from 1 species
AGCAGCCGCGGUAAUUCCAGCUCCAAUAGCGUAUAUUAAAGUUGUUGCAGUUAAAAAGCUCGUAGUUGAAUUUCGGGAUUGGCGCAUCGGUCGUGCCUUACGGGGUAUGAACUGGUGCAGUCAAUUUCUCACCUUCUGGAGAACCGCGAUGUCCUUAAUUGGGUGCCGCGGGGAACCGGGACCUUUACUUUGAAAAAAUUAGAGUGUUUAAAGCAGGCAUUUUUGCUUGAAUACAUUAGCAUGGAAUAAUAAAAUAGGACGGCAUGGUUCUAUUUUGUUGGUCUCUAGGACCACCGUAAUGAUUAAUAGGGAUAGUUGGGGGCAUUAGUAUUCAAUUGUCAGAGGUGAAAUUCUUGGAUUUAUUGAAGACUAACUACUGCGAAAGCAUUUGCCAAGGAUGUUUUCAUUAAUCAAGAACGAAAGUUAGGGGAUCGAAGACGAUCAGAUACCGUCGUAGUCUUAACCAUAAACUAUGCCGACUAGGAAUCAGACGAUGUUAAUUUUUAAUGACUCGUUUUGG